rnacentral:lncRNA from 1 species
CCAUGACACAUGGGUAAAUUGGCCAAUGCAGAAUGCACAAUGCCACCACCAGAAAUGUGCCGCUCAGCAAAAAAGGAAGAGGAAAAAAAAGGACCCAGGGCUCGUCAUGUGAA